CCUACGGGAGGCAGCAGUGAGGAAUAUUGGUCAAUGGCCGGAAGGCUGAACCAGCCAUGCCGCGUGAAGGUCAGUGCCCUAUGGGCGUUAAACUUCUUUUGUGCGGGAGCAAUAAUGGUCACGUGUGGCCAGACGAGAGUACCGUACGAAUAAGCAUCGGCUCACUCCGUGCCAGCAGCCGCGGUAAUACGGGGGAUGCGAGCGUUAUCCGGAUUUAUUGGGUGUAAAGGGUGCGUAGGCUGUGAGGUAAGUCAGCGGGGAAAUGCCCCCGCGCAACGGGGUGAAGUGCCAUUGAUACUGCCUUGCUGGAAUGCGGAUGCCGUGGGAGGAAUGUGUGGUGUAGCGGUGAAAUGCAUAGAUAUCACACAGAACACCGAUUGCGAAGGCAUCUCACGAAUCCGCGAUUGACGCUGAUGCACGAAAGCGUGGGUAUCAAACAGGAUUAGAUACCCCUGUAGUC
rnacentral:rRNA from 1 species